UACAGAGGCCUCGAGCGUUAGGCGGAAUCACUGGGCUUAAAGCGUGUGUAGGCGGACUUCUAAGUACCUUGUGAAAUCCCACGGCUUACCCGUGGAACUGCUGGGUAUACUGGUUGUCUUGAGCUUUCUAGGGGCGAGUGGAACAAAUGGUGGAGCGGUGAAAUGCGUAGAUAUCAUUUGGAACGCCAAUGGUGAAAACAACUCGCUGGGGAAAUGCUGACGCUGAGACACGAAAGCCAGGGGAGCGAACGGG
rnacentral:rRNA from 1 species